CGCGUUAUAUUCAGCCUUUCCCAAUGAAUACCCUGAAUAUCUUUACAUUUAUGGUUCCAAUCAAACCGUAGCAAAUAAGUUUAUACUAUAAAGCAGGGGUAGUCGAGAUUACCAUUUCUUGAGAAUGAGACAAAAAACAUAAUGCUCUAAAUUUCUAUCAACAUACAGGAUUUCGGUAUCCCAUAAAAUAUAUACUCCAAGGCAUCACAACAAAUUAAAAUAAAAUAGUAGUAAUAAAUAAAUACACUGAAGAAUAGCUUAUAUCACCCACAGUAAAAUAACACCUGAGAUUUAUAAUAAAUAAUAAUAAUCUGAAAAUGAAAUUGAACCUCUAAGUUAAAACCAAUAAUAGUAACAUCGGCAACCCACCGAAUCUCAAAGAGCAAAAACCCAACAAAGUGAUAGGAUAUCCACUACUUCUAUCUGAAAACAAAGUGUUCUGUCCAUACGAAUUCGUAUAAUAUAAAGCUGAUUAUUCAAUUAAUAAGAGAGUUCCAAAAAAAAUGAAUUUGCCACUAUACCCAACAAAGCAGAAAUACCCAUUACCAAGAACCCAAAGAGUGAGAAAAAAUUUCAAUUCCAAAAUAGAUCAGCAAUAUAAAGUCCUUAAAACUAAAAACAUAAAUUUUCAAUUAGAUUCAAGCAAGUAAUCCACAACCUCAUAACAAACCAUCACUUCAAAAAACAAAAUCAAACAAAAAGUAACCCAAUAAAAAUUAUACUGAAUUAACAACCACAAAUGCACAUUAAAAUCAAAUUUUCCCAUACCAAAAUAACCCAAAAAAGAUUAAGCGUGACUGAACCCAAAUGACAACCCAUAGACACAAUCAAAAAGCCCAACAAAACAAAACCUAAUCUUUAGAAGAUAGUCACAAUCACUAAUAAUCAGAAACCCACACAACAAAAAGAGCUUAAAUCAAUGUAGACAUUGUAUCUAUUAUAUAAAUGCAGUUUAAGAAAGAAACAGAGUAAGCCACAUAAUCAAAUAAAGUAUUAGACCUUUAAAAUUUUGAAGUACCUUUUUAGUUCACAAAUUGCUUAAUCGCAUAAUUAGAAUCCAAAUAAAUCAUAGCAGAAACUUCAGUGAAAUAAAACAAAUGAUUGUAGAUGCAUGCCAAAUUCCUUUUUCUUCUUCAGGUCAUGUUCCUUUUUUAUUAUAUUAUGGAGGUCUUAGGAGAGGAUUUAGUGUCUGCUUAGUCAUACUCAUAUUAAGCUUUCUAUCCAUUACUGCUUGGUCAUACGAAAAUUAUACAAUAAUACUCUAUCCUUUAUUUUUAUUUGUUUUAUAUUAUAAUCUAUUAUUAUCGUUUGUUUGUCAAGUUUAAACCAAUAAUGUGCACCUUCUUUAAAUGAAUCACAUUAAUUUUUGUAUAUUAUAGUUGCAAGUUAAAUGCAGUAAGAAAUAUAAGUAAUAAAGUAGUAGAAUAUAUGUUUGAUCAUUUUAUUUAAUUUGAAUGGACAUUAUUGGGAUGGUAAUUAUGGUAUUAGUUGGUUGGAGUGGACUAAGCUGAACCAAAAACACAGUUUAUUGAUUCACUUUGAGACACAAACGAUGGGAUCGAUGGGUAUAUUUUAAUUUCCACUUUGUAUAUAACAACUGAUUUUAAAAAGUUAAUUGCACAUCUUUUCUAUCCAUUUAUUUUCAGUGAUUCCUAAUUGAAGCUGGAGUCAUUUACGGACAGACUGACUCCAUCUUUCUUUCUUAGUUACUCCAAUAUCGUCUUUAUAUAGACAAUAUUAUUUAAUUAUAGUAGUAUUUGUUUAGUGUUUUUUUUAAAACAUUGUUAUAAAAUUAACAAAUAUUAUAAAGUCUAUUCAUAGUAUCAUUGAUUUAGAUACUCAACUUUACAACAGAAUAACAACGCAUCCAAGAUUAACUUAAAUCUUAAAGGUAUUGCUAAAGUUGACCUCUAGGUAAUGUCUAGCAUAUUACCAACUUAAUUUCUACCAUCUAUACUUUGUCUUAAAGGUAUAGAUAUUACCUAGUCCUUAUCAUUGAGUAAUUUUCAAUUUUUACACAUGUUGACCUCUUUGGGACAAAUUUUCAAACACCCUAAAGGCAUAACCUAUAAUUUCAGAAUUCAUAGAGGUUUAGGCAUGGUUCUAGCCCAAAAAAAUCAUAGAAGUCCUUCACAACACAUAGUUUCCCGACCAAGCACAUCAAUUUUAGAAUAACAAACAUUAUGUAAACUUUCAAUUUCCAUAAAAUUAACCAAAUCCAUGGCUUACCUUACAAAAGAUUAGUUUGAUGUAGUCUUAGCUUGAUAACCAGUUUAUGAAAUCUUCCUUUACUGCUGUUGAUCUUAAUCCCUUCCCACGUUAGCUUGCCACUUCAAUUCUUUAAUGCCUUCAUUAGUUCCAACCGAAAUUAUGAGGAUUUUGAUGAAGGUUUGGGAGUUUUGGAAACUUGAAGCACAAAGGGUUUUUUAAAAUAAUCAACAAAGAUUUGAAGAAGAAGAAGCAAGCAAAAGGGAAUCCAAAAAAUCAACAGAAACCCUUGUUUUAGGGUGGAGAGAAUGAAGAAGAAGCGACUGAAGUUUGAAAUCCC
rnacentral:lncRNA from 1 species